UACCUGGUUGAUUCUGCCAGUAGUCAUAUGCUUGUCUCAAAGAUUAAGCCAUGCAAGUCUAAGUAUAAGCAACUAUACGGUGAAACUGCGAAUGGCUCAUUAAAUCAGUUAUCGUUUAUUUGAUAGUACCUUACUACAUGGAUAACCGUGGUAAUUCUAGAGCUAAUACAUGCUAAAAACCCCGACUUCGGAAGGGGUGUAUUUAUUAGAUAAAAAACCAACGCCCUUCGGGGCUCCUUGGUGAAUCAUAAUAACUUAACGAAUCGCAUGGCCUUGCGCCGGCGAUGGUUCAUUCAAAUUUCUGCCCUAUCAACUUUCGAUGGUAGGAUAGUGGCCUACCAUGGUAG
rnacentral:ncRNA from 1 species